rnacentral:rRNA from 1 species
AGAACGAACGCUGGCGGCAUGCCUAACACAUGCAAGUCGAACGAGAUCCUUCGGGGUCUAGUGGCGCACGGGUGCGUAACGCGUGGGAAUCUGCCCUUAGGUACGGAAUAACUCAGGGAAACUUGUGCUAAUACCGUAUGAUGUCUUCGGACCAAAGAUUUAUCGCCUAGGGAUGAGCCCGCGUAGGAUUAGCUAGUUGGUGGGGUAAAGGCCUACCAAGGCUACGAUCCUUAGCUGGUCUGAGAGGAUGAUCAGCCACACUGGGACUGAGACACGGCCCAGACUCCUACGGGAGGCAGCAGUGGGGAAUAUUGGACAAUGGGCGAAAGCCUGAUCCAGCAAUGCCGCGUGAGUGAAGAAGGCCUUCGGGUUGUAAAGCUCUUUACCCGGGUAAGAUAAUGACUGUACCGGGAGAAUAAGCCCCGGCUAACUCCGUGCCAGCAGCCGC